rnacentral:rRNA from 1 species
GAUAAACGCUGGCGGCGUGCCUAACACAUGCAAGUCGAACGCGCUUCGCAAGAAGCGAGUGGCGGACGGGUGAGGAACACGUGGGUACCUGCCUCGAGGUGAGGAAUACCGGUGAGAAAUCACUGACAAUACCGCAUAGGUUUCGUCGAGAGGCGAAGCAAAGUCUCGCGAGAGACGCCUCGGGAUGGGCCUGCGCCUGAUUAUGCUAGCUGGUGGGGUAAUGGCCUACCAGGGCGACGAUCAGUAGCUGGUUUGAGAGGAUGAUCAGCCACACUGG